rnacentral:rRNA from 1 species
UACGUAGGGGGCUAGCGUUGUCCGGAUUUAUUGGGCGUAAAGAGCGUGUAGGCGGCCAGGUAGGUCUGCUGUGAAAACUCGAGGCUCAACCUCGAGACGUCGGCGGAAACCAUCUGGCUAGAGUCCGGAAGAGGAGAGUGGAACUCCUGGUGUAGCGGUGAAAUGCGCAGAUAUCAGGAAGAACACCCGUGGCGAAGGCGGCUCUCUGGGACGGUACUGACGCUAAGGAGCGAAAGCGUGGGGAGCGAACAGG